GGCGAACGGGUGAGUAACACGUGGGCAAUCUGCCCUUCACUCUGGGACAAGCCCUGGAAACGGGGUCUAAUACCGGAUACGACUGCGGGAGGCAUCUCCUGUGGUGGAAAGCUCCGGCGGUGAAGGAUGAGCCCGCGGCCUAUCAGCUUGUUGGUGGGGUAAUGGCCCACCAAGGCGACGACGGGUAGCCGGCCUGAGAGGGCGACCGGCCACACUGGGACUGAGACACGGCCCAGACUCCUACGGGAGGCAGCAGUGGGGAAUAUUGCACAAUGGGCGAAAGCCUGAUGCAGCGACGCCGCGUGAGGGAUGACGGCCUUCGGGUUGUAAACCUCUUUCAGCAGGGAAGAAGCGAAAGUGACGGUACCUGCAAAAAAGCGCCGGCUAACUACGUGCCAGCAGCCGCGGUAAUACGUAGGGCGCAAGCGUUGUCCGGAAUUUUGGGCGUAAAAACUCGUAGGCGGCUUGUCACGUCGAUGUGAAACCCGAGCUUAACCUCG
rnacentral:rRNA from 1 species